rnacentral:rRNA from 1 species
GAUGAACGCUGGCGGCGUGCCUAAUACAUGCAAGUCGAGCGAACGGACGAGAAGCUUGCUUCUCUGAUGUUAGCGGCGGACGGGUGAGUAACACGUGGAUAACCUACCUAUAAGACUGGGAUAACUUCGGGAAACCGGAGCUAAUACCGGAUAAUAUUUCGAACCGCAUGGUUCAAAAGUGAAAGACGGUCUUGCUGUCACUUAUAGAUGGAUCCGCGCUGCAUUAGCUAGUUGGUAAGGUAACGGCUUACCAAGGCAACGAUGCAUAGCCGACCUGAGAGGGUGAUCGGCCACACUGGAACUGAGACACGGUCCAGACUCCUACGGGAGGCAGCAGUAGGGAAUCUUCCGCAAUGGGCGAAAGCCUGACGGAGCAACGCCGCGUGAGUGAUGAAGGUCUUCGGAUCGUAAAACUCUGUUAUUAGGGAAGAACAUAUGUGUAAGUAACUGUGCACAUCUUGACAGUACCUAAUCAGAAAGCCACGGCUAACUACGUG